ACAAUGUGUAGCUGGGCUACUUAACUACAGGGCCAAGGUGUUAAAACAAGAAAGUGAAUCCAGAAUAGUGAUGAUGGGAUGGGAGGAUAGGGAUGUAGAAUAGGUUUAGGAGGAAUAAGACAGGAGGUAGAGAUGGAAGGAUAAGUGGUGAUGAUCAGAGAGGAGAGUUUCAGAGUUUAAAAUAUGAGGGCUUGCCUUUGAAUUCCUAGGCAUUUUUAUUACUAAUCUUCUUUGUAGCUUUGGACAAUUUUCUCCAUACCCCUUCAUUUCUAGUUUAAAAGCCUUUUGACUGGUUUUUCAAAAUUCCAGGAAAAUACAUUCUUACCAGUCUUUGUUAGUCCAGUUGUCCUUGACAACAGAUCUCUUCACUCUCUUUUAUUCUAAGUUCCAGAAAUGUGAAGGCUUUUCUCAGUCACUGUCUUCUUAAUCAGCAGAUCUUCCUUUUACUUUAAUCAGCAGCAGUGAUGAAAACACCAUUUGUUCUCUUCAGGUUUUUUGCUCAAGGCUUCAUAAUGGAUGGAGAAGGCCCAUUAGUAUGUAAAGGCAAAAUAGAAGAAGCCUGAGUAUAGGGAGAGAUGGAAAUUGAGAGAAUGAACAAUGGGACAACAUCUUGGCAAAGAAAAAGAUGGUUUUUCUGUUUCCAAUAAGGUACAAAUUAAAUGUUUAAGCUAUGUAAGUCAAGGAUAUCCAAGAUGUACAGAAGCUAGAAAUUAUAAAUCUACAAAGAGCUGGAACUAAAUCAGUUGGAAUUGCCCAUAAAUCUGGGAAAGAUACAGGGUCAGCAAUCCAACAGAGGAAAAUGUGAGCCUCCACCUCUCACUGAAGCUCAAGCUCCCAUCCUUGUGACUCUGAGUUCAGACUGAUAAGUCUUUUCUUUAUCUUACUUGGCCUCAGGAGUACCUUACCAUCUCCAUGUUCCUGCCCACCCAACCUCAUUUCCAACUCUAGUUUAUAGAAGAAUAUUA